GUUCGCGUGGUCUUGUUACGCCUCGCUGGAUCGUGUUCAGUCAUGCCGUCCUUGCGCGGCGUGAUUGUCGUGCGGCUGGCGUGAGCUGUCUCCACGAUGCGCUUCGAGCGUGUCGAUUUCGCCGUUCUUUAUGUUGGCGUUAACGACCUUGAAAGCAACAUGGAUCCACAAGAAAUGUGCGACAACAUCAAGGUAAGUCUACUGAAAUCACAAAAUUUGAAACAAUAAGCGCUAAUAGUUGUGUUUUCUUUUAAAUUUUAGGCCUUGAUUGUUCAACGAGACGGCCCCCGUCGUGCUGGUUUUCAAGGUGCUCCCUCGCUGCCUAGAAGAUGCUGAUGCGGAAUAGAAAAUGCAAAAACGUCGCUUGCUCAACCGCAAAUUGACGGCUACGCUGAAGCGCAUGCCGUGUCUGCGGAAUUUGAACCCCGAGGUAUGGACCCCCUUUUUCCAGCGGCAUGCCGUUACAUACCGUCAGGAACACGCUUGGCUUAUUUCUGACUCGGUAAAAAAUGUUUCACUUUU
rnacentral:lncRNA from 1 species